UAAAUAAGUAUUUCUUGGGAUAAUUUUUACUGUCCUUAACAUUUUGAAGAUUCAAGUGUUAUAGUAAGUUUUGUACAUCUUUUUAGAAAAGGUUAUAAACGCUCAACAAAACCUCGUGCAGCUUUGUAUAGGUAGAAAAUUCUUUAGUUGUGGGCUUAAUCAAAAACAGUUCCAAAUAUGAUUUGUUCUCCUUGCUUUGUAUUCAACGUCACAGCUCGAAUAUGUUUUGUGGAUUUUAUGAAUACUGUACGUUUAAUGAUUUGUUGGUUUAAAAAUCCAAAUUAUGAAAUACAAACUGUUUUUAUUAUUAACGUGGCAUAACCUAAAAGUAUUAAUUUUGAGGAUUUCAAAGUAGUUUGUAAAGAUAAAUUUAUAUUAAUUAUAAAGGCAACAAAGUAUUCUUUAUGACUGUGGGACAUUAAUUGCAGAAGAACCAUCCAAAGCCCAAAACACCGGUGUUCUCGGAAAAGGUGGUAAGGCCUGGGCACCCAACCUUGUAUUCUUAUCAUAGAUUGUAAACAUCUCUGUGUAGUUUAAAUUACUUAAGAUUUAUUGUGAUUUAUAUUAUCAAGUAACUCGUUAACACAAUGUCUAUACAACAGGUAACUUGUAUCAGAAAACAAUUAUUACAAUUGAUACUUUGUUCUGAGACAAGGUUGGCCCAUGUAUCUGAUAAUAUAUUUUUGUUGUGCCAUCAUUUAAGUUAGAAUGUUUUGGUUUUACUUGAUUUUGACUGAUCAUAAAUGGAUUACCAAUAUCAUGCAUCUUAAAUUACAAGUUGUGAGCUAAUUUGGGUGGUGUCUAUAAUUUCUGCUUUUCGUGUUGUUGAUAGCCAUAUGUAAUAGCUUUAAAUACAGGUUUCAAGUAGUACAAAGCUAUAUUUAUUUAUGGAUGGGUGGUUUUGAGUUGAAAAAGAAACAAACCAAACCGUUGCUCAUUAUACCAGCUUCAUGUUUUAUAAUAAUGUUUCAUCACCAGAUGUUUUUGAUAUUAGAAGCUCAGAUGCUAAAAUUUUAUAUUUGAACUGGCUCUAUGUGGUUUAACAGUUUGUGUUAAACUUUGUAUUUCGUUGUUGUUGUUUUUUAAUUCUAACUUCAUAUAGCAAACAUGAUAGUUUGAAAAAUGUUACUACUGGCUAAAAUAGAAAACAAGUUUCUAAUGUGCGUGUUAAUGAAACUGUCAGAAUAGAAAUGAUUGAAUUUGGAUUUAAUGAUAGUUUUUUUUUUUUUUUGACUAAGAAUUAAAGCUUCACUCUAAUGUCCUAUUUUUCUUUGCUCUUGUUACAGUAUUUGUGCAUUUAUUCUUGUUUUCUUGUGUUUUACUGUGAAAACUGGUUUGCUGUGUAUUCGUGAUUGUUUCAUUGUUCUUAUUCAUUUGGUCCAAGUAGCCUUGGAAUAUUUUUUACCUUUUAUAAGUGAAAUUAAUGUGUAAUUAUAACCUUUUUAUUUAUUUUUUAUUUUUUUUCCUGCAGUUACUAUCAAAAUACUCUUAUUGCUUUUAGGGCACUGCAGUGACCAGUGAAUGAGCUGAUUGUUACUAGGCUACUACAGAAAGGGUGUGCCCACACUUCAGAAAUAUUAAUAUGGCUAUACAGGUCUCUUAGUAAUCUUAAAUGGAGCAGUACGUUCCUAGAUCACCAUAAAUAUACAUAAACUGAAUGAUAUUUAUUUAAUUGGUGGUAAUAUGUGAAGUCUAAUAUCUUAAAUUUUAACGUUCCCAAUUCUUCAAUUUGGUUUAAGUAUGAUAACAUGAUUAUCAGUAUCUGGGAUUGGCUUAAAAGAAAAACUUAAACUAAAUCAUUACUACAAGCUUUAUCAGGUUUUUAAAUUAGAACCUGUCCAAAAAGGGGGAUGUGUAUUUUAAUGUUAAUACAUGUCAUUAGAUUGUUGAAACCUUUUUUUCACUUGGACAGCUUUGUACCAUUAAUUGUUUGUAGCUGGUAAUAUACAUCAAAGUGAGAGAAGCAUGUUAACCCUCAACUGGUAGUGUGGUCAGAAUGACCCAUGUCAAGUUUUUAAUCGAUAUUCUAACUUGGCUAGAGCUGCUUUCUGUCUAUACUUUUUUUUUCUUACUGUAUCCAUGAUCAGUACUUGUGUGUUUAACAUAAUAAAUGUGUUGUUGAAAUUUUCUUUCUUACUGUUGUAAGUGUUUGUUUGUCAUUUGUGGGUCAUUCUGACCCCCCACCAUUUUUUAAGUUUAUUACCCAUGUUGACCCAACCUACCACUUAUGAUACAAAUAUUUACCCUACCAGUUGAGGGUUAAAACAAGAAAUGUUAAGAGAGGAUUUUGUAGUUGAUAGUUUUGAAUUGUCAGUUUCAAACAAAACAUUUCCAAAAGAAAUAAUUGGGUUAAGCAGUUAUGAAUGUCGAGCGAGACCAGAGAAAGUUGAAAUUUUCUGCUGGCCAGCAUGUUUGGAUGAAGGUUUAAUUCUGCAUAUCAGAACUCCAGGGUUCUAGAAAUUUAAGUAUGGGUCCUGGAAUGCUUGGGAACUUUUUAAAGUUACUGUGACCCACUUUAUAUCUCUAUUUGGUGUUAUCUUGUUUAUUAAGAAAUAUAUUGUACGCUGGCAUAGAAAGUGGCUUAAUAUCUUGGAAAUAUCAAAUUUUGAAGUAUGUUACCAAAGAUAUUAAACUCUUAAUAAAAUGAUUCCAUCAUUGAAAGUAUCCUAACAUUCAAACUCAAAGCAUGUUUUUUAAUGUUUAUUUAUACAUCAGUGAUACUACUAUUAAUAUAAAUAACUAAUUUUUUUUGUAUAUCAAAAAGUACGUUUUUAAUUUACGUUCUUGGGAAGAAGAUAUUCUAACCCUGAGUAUCCCAGUUUUAUGUUUUGCUACACAGGUUUAUAUACAAACAAAAUAUUUUAAUGAAUUGCUUGUGCUCUUGAGAAGGUUGAGAUAUUUUGACUUGUGAAAAUUAAUGAGGUUGUGUUUACUUGAAAUUUGAGCUUGUUAGAUAACUAUUUCAAAACACUUCUGCACUAAUAUUGUAAAUAUCCCACAAUACUAUUCUUAAUCACUUGGACGUAACAUUGGUAUUUCAAACAUGUUUUUAGUAUUGAUAAUAUUUAUGUAAUUCAGUUAACUGUUCUGUUGUUUUUUGUAAGAGAAGGGGGGUUGUGUUACUUGUGCAAACAUUCCCAAUUAUUGGAGUUUUGUCAUUCCUUUGUACUUCACCACAAGUAUGUUAAUAUCUCAGAAUGCAUAGUUUUGAUGAAGAGAAAAGGUAUCUUUAAGAUCGGUGUUUGGCCCUCUAACAGACUUGAAAGGAUACUCAAAAUCUGACAGAAAAGUUUAUGGUGUCAAAAAUUCUAAACUGAUGACCAUCCAAUUUAAAUUUACAGAAGUUAUUUCAUGCUCACACAAUUAGUAGGUUUGAAGUCAUUAGACUAGUUUCUUCCAUUAUCUAGAUAACUGGACUUUACUUGGUGGUCAACAUUAUAGUGUGGGUUUGGUAGUUCAGAGGCAAUAUGUCUUUGAGUUAUGGUGUGUAAAAAGUGUAAAAAAGAUGACAGUUAACACGUUCGAUUUUUAUUCAAUUUACUUUGCAACCCUUUCAAAAAUCUUACAUUCUAUAAUUGGUAAAAUUAAAAUUUAGUUUGAUCUCGUUUCAGUUGCUAAAAACAAUUCUUAUUAAUUAUGUGACAGUUUUUGGGGGGGGUAACUCAUUCCCACUUCAUUUUUGUGUGCAACUGAUAAUUGUGUAUGUAGGUUUUUGGGACUGAAUGUCCAUCUUAUAGGCACCUUUUCUUCCACGAGCUGGAUAUUUUCAUACAUAAGACACUAUAUUAAGUAGUGAGUUGACUGCCGAGCUCCUCUGCAUAAGUUGUGGGCUUGGUCAGUUCAUAUUCUGAAGAAAGUUCGUAUUGUAAUGAAACUAGAAUUUUUUUUUUUUAAAUCUUAGUGCACUCUGUUUUUAAUACACAGUACCAUCUGUUAUUAUUCAUGACUUGUGAUUUAUAUUUUUGCAAUUAUGAUUUUUGUUUCUGUUUAUCAUGAUUGCUUCGUUUUCUCUUUCAGAAUCAAUUGAUCAUAAUGUUUAAAGAUCUUGUGUAGGUUUAGAAGUUUUAAAUCGUUGUACUGAUUGUUAGGUCAGCACUUGUUACAUGACUUGCCAUAAGCUGUGCGUUUAACCUAUUUCCUUUUAAAUGUUUUACGAUCUGUAUGAUUCUGUUAAACCCACGUCGCCCAAAAAUAUUCUGCCUGAUUAUGUUGUCAGAUACCAUGUUUUAGGUACUACUUGUGUUCAUGUUGGUAGAAUGCAUUUCUCAUGUGCCUACUAGUUAGAAUCAUGAUUGAACAGUUGAUCUCAUUGAUUUGCGGGGGCAUUUUGUGACAAGGGGUGUCAUUGGUUGAUUUUUUUUUUUAUUGUAUGUUCAUAAAUAUUGGACUGACCACUACAAUGUCUUGUUACAUUUGUAGUUUAAACCCUGUGUCACGCCGAGCUGUCUUUUGGGGACACCCCGCGUCAUGGGAUCCAGUCUAGUCCAGAUCAGUGAUAGUGGUUCGAGGGCUACUGGUGGUCCGCGGGCUGGUCCAAAAUGCAAGUCACAUACGCGCAACGCCACGGCCGAAGCCAUACGAGAGAAUAGAACAGGUGGGGUAGGACCGAUAGGUGGUCCGAGAACGAAGAAGUUUGAUAACCACUACUGAUUCUUUUUAGUAUGUGCAAUGCUUAUUACUGAUGGCUUUGUUGUUAAUUUUCAUUAGCAAAAUUCCUGUACAGGGCUUGUUUAGAUUUGUAUAACUUGAUGAUUCUGUUACUCCGUUUAGAAAUACGGCUAUAACCACGAGGUUUGGUAUCAAAGUUUUCUCGUGUAAACAAGUAUCACUUGCUUCACAGACGACGUUUUCCAGCAUUGUUUAGUUUCGGGUAAAUACUACUAAUUCGUUUUCUUUAGAGCUGUUUCAACACGUUAUUGUAAGUAAUGUACCAGGCAUUACUUGGAGACUCAAAGAUGGUAUAAUAAACUGUGUAUUUUAAACAUUGGA